rnacentral:rRNA from 1 species
UGCGUAGGCGGAUGUUUAAGUCUGUUGUGAAAUCCCCGGGCUCAACCUGGGAAUGGCAUUGGAUACUGGGCAUCUAGAGUGUGGUAGAGGGUAGUGGAAUUUCUGGUGUAGCGGUGAAAUGCGUAGAUAUCAGAAAGAACACCAAUGGCGAAGGCAACUACCUGGGCCAACACUGACGCUGAGGUACGAAAGCGUGGGGAGCAAACA